rnacentral:tRNA from 1 species
GAGAUGGUAGUCAACAAUGAUUCUUGCCUUGCACGCAGGAGGUGCUUCAGAGCUCAUCUUG